CCCGUGUCGCGUUUCACUGUCCGGUGGAGACGAGGUGGUGGCGGCGAGGUGCAGCGCCGAAAAGAGGGAGGGGAGGCAGAGAGAGAGGCGGUCCGUAGGGUCUGCGCCUCCGCCUCUAUGGAAGGAAGGGCGUGGCGUGCUCUAACACCAGAGUUGGAGGACUGCCGCUGCCGCUCGGAGAGCCUCCGGUGGAGGCUAGAUUCUCCACGCGGGGAGGGAGGAACCUUAGACUGGUUGAAGAGGAGAGGUGAUAGGGCGUGGAAAGGAGAGGGAGAGUACCGGGUAGGAGGUGGGUUCGAGGCUAGGCUGGGUUACGCCGAUACUUUAGAGACGACGACAGGGUGACGGAGGCGGCACGGCAUCGAAUCGCGGAGGGGGCAGCGGAGCGUGGGGUUUGGGGACGUCGGAAGCAGCGGUGACGGCGAGGGCAAGGUGGAGUAGCGCUAGAACCCGCAACCGAAAACUCUUAGUAAUCGUCUUCAUAACUUGGGACUCAAAAGUAAAUAAAGCAGGACCAAUAACACUCUUACGCCUCCAAGUUAGGGAAACCCCCCUUUCAUGUCUGACCUAACCUUCCGGCGUGGUAACUAAUACGUAACUUCGUAUAGUAAACGUUACUGAGCCUUAGCGAGCUAGAACAGUACUUCCUCUAGGUCCACUACUUAGAGGAGUUUCCCGUACGGUUACAGCAGUGUGACCAACGUGUACUACAAAAACUGUACCCGGCGUGUUUCCUCCGUAACGAACACUACCUCAAAACGCUCUUCAGGAACCACUCACGCUACCUCUCGUCUCCAUGACCAAUGAUACUCCUUUUCUUCCGCGAAAACUAUAAGUCUCUACAGACGUUGCGCCAAAAACGAUACGUACCCGUCAGUGGUGGUUAACGCGUAUCCCUAGAAUUUCGGCUUUUACAUGAAGAACCUAAUCUACCACGUACCUUUGAUACACUGAAACCUUCGUGCAGUUGUUUAGUAUUUACGAAACUGUUCGGUCUUCUAUCCCCCUAACUCCUUCUAUAGUAAUCCUUCGUAUGCUGGGGCCGUAUAUCUCGUGGACUCUACACCCUAGAGAUGUCUUCUCUUCAAUAAUCACUCUUUCAACUAUAAACCCGGGACCCUACAGAAGAGAUAUCUUAUACGAUGAAGUUUAGGCGCAAACUACCUCUCAGCUUCGACGUUCAGGAAUUACCGUUAAUAGCGUAAGGUCUUGUUGGAUUCAUGUCGUGGUCACAGUGUCCCGACUAGUUUCUAUACGACCUUCGUAGAGGUUUACGGUCUGGUCUAUAGUGUGUCCAGACCAAAGCACAAUUGCUUGAUGACGGAGAACUCAAUGUCUUCUCAAAUGGACUACCCCGAAGUCGCCGUUAAAGAUACCCGAACGUCCUGCUACCACGAAUAUUUUCUUGUGUACACUACGGAUUUUCCUUGGGAGGACGUGGAGGUUCUCUUGUUAGACUAUUGAGUAGUAGAGUACCUUCACGUUUGCGGCCUCUACGUGGAGAUCCACGUAAAACCCACUGGGUUGUACGUGUCCCAAGAGUUCAACGACUAUUAUCCUUAGGGAACAAACUGCUCCUCGGUUAAUUUGGUAGUGGAAGUAGUUUCAUAUUGGUUUCAUCCCACCUAUAGUCGUGGUGAUGGGGACCUCUAUCCGUACCAGUAAGACCAGUCCGAAACGCUUUAUGUUGUUCAUUGUGACAUAGGUCAUUACCUGAAUUCCCACCAAGCCUGUAUUUAGAAAAGUACCUUGGUGUUCCAAUACACUUUUUAUUUCGUAGUGUCGGUGUUUCGUUCUGAUAUAGACCCUUGCUGGGGAAGUUGUCAAAACAGUGUCUAAAACUACGUUUGUUAGACGUGAGUCCCUGAUGACGAUGACCAUUCUGUAGACUCGAACUUCGACUUCACAGGUUAGACUUCCUCGUCAACUUCUUUUGGUGCAGCCUCUUCCGACUCUACUGUCGGUUCAUACUUUUCGACAGCCGUUAGACGGCGAGGGUCGCGGUUCUUUAAGUUCUCAACUUCGCGUGACAACGACUCUGAUGUGGUGGCGGAAGUUCAUUUCAGUCGAGUUCCUACGGUCUUGAACCUAGGGUCGCCUUCCUCUCCUAACUUCCUUGCCACACCCUUGAACUCGUUCCUUACGAGAGUCCGUUGAGGAGCCGUGGGUCGAGACUCCGGUUCUGUACCGUCAGUAAGGGACUCCGUUUUCGAGUCUGGUCCGGUUUCCAACUGGUACGUUGGUUACCCUCCGUUUUGGAUUGUGCCUUGUGCUUACGUCCCGGAAGGGGACUACGCACCCCAAAGCCGUGUAGUAGCCCAUCGUUACGCUGUCGUUGUGUCUACUUGUCUUGCUUACGGGUCCCCUCAAGGAGGGUCUCUAACUCGUACCCCCGUCGCUUCUUUCAUCUAGUCGGUAGUCCUACCCGGCCUAAGAUCGAAGAGUAGUCGUGCGCACACCCGACGCAUCGACCUACAUGUGGCCACAAAGUCUCGUUUCUCGGUUUGUAGAAACCGCGAGUUCCGGCCGAACUAUUAAUAACAUUCCCGUUCGUGACGAUGUUACAAAUCAUGGCUCCCUUGACGUGGCCCUCGGGAGUUUUGAAUGCGCACCUUGUCAAACCAACUC
rnacentral:rRNA from 1 species